rnacentral:rRNA from 1 species
GACAGAGGUGCCCAAGCGUUAGGCGGAAUCACUGGGCUUAAAGCGUGUGUAGGCGGAUGUCUAAGUACCUUGUGAAAUCCCACGGCUCAACCGUGGAACUGCUGGGUAUACUGGAUGUCUUGAGCCAGCUAGGGGCUACCGGAACAAAUGGUGGAGCGGUGAAAUGCGUAGAUAUCAUUUGGAACGCCAAUGGUGAAAACAGGUAGCUGGGGCUGUGCUGACGCUGAGACACGAAAGCCAGGGGAGCGAAACGGG